AAUAGAUACCCGGGUAGUCCACGCCCUAAACGAUGUCUACUAGUUGUCGGGGAUUAAUUUCCUUGGUAACGCAGCUAACGCGGGAAGUAGACCGCCUGGGGAGUACGGUCGCAAGAUUAAAACUCAAAGGAAUUGACGGGGACCCGCACAAGCGGUGGAUGAUGUGGAUUAAUUCGAUGCAACGCGAAAAACCUUACCUACGCUUGACAUGUCCGGAAUCCUGCAGAGAUGUGGGAGUGCCCGAAAGGGAGCCGGAACACAGGUGCUGCAUGGCUGUCGUCAGCUCGUGUCGUGAGAUGUUGGGUUAAGUCCCGCAACGAGCGCAACCCUUAUCAUUAGUUGCUACACAAGGGCACUCUAAUGAGACUGCCGGUGACAAACCGGAGGAAGGUGGGGAUGACGUCAAGUCCUCAUGGCCCUUAUGCGUAGGGCUUCACACGUCAUACAAUGGUCGGUACAGAGGGCUGCCAACCCGCGAGGGGAGCCAAUCCCACAAAACCGAUCGUAGUCCGGAUUGCAGUCUGCAA
rnacentral:rRNA from 1 species